CCUACGGGAGGCAGCAGUGAGGAAUCUUGGUCAAUGGCCGUAAGGCUGAACCAGCCAAGUAGCGUGAGGGAAGACUGCCCUAUGGGUUGUAAACCUCUGUUAUGCGGGGAUAAAGUUGUCCACUAGUGGAUGUUUGCAGGUACCUCAUGAAUAAUGACCGGGUAAUGCCGUGCCAGCAGCCGCGGUAAGACGGAUGGUCCGGGCUUUAUCCGGAUUUAUGGGGUUUAAAGGGAGCGUAGGGCGGGCUGUAAGCGUGAGGUGAAAUGUUGUGGCUCAACCAUGAGAGUGCGGCGCGAACUGGGGAACUAGAGUGAGCGGAAGGGAGGCGGAAUUCGUGGUGUAGCGGUGAAAUGCUUAGAUAUCACGAAGAACCCCGAUUGCGAAGGCAGGUUGCCGCAGCGUUACUGACGCUGAAGCUCGAAGGCGAGGGUAGCGAACAGGAUUAGAUACCCUUGUAGUC
rnacentral:rRNA from 1 species